GGACGUAUACCGGAUAAAACGGAUGAUGAACGUAUCAGAAACGGACAAAUGCCAAUAAAAAAUUUCGCGUCAGAAAUGCCAAUUAGAUUUUUUAAGGUUCAUGAAUUCUUAUUAUUCAUAAUCGAUCUUAGAGUAAGGGCACGUCUUCACAAUCAAUCAGCUCUUAUUCAGCCAGAAACUGCCCUUUGACGGCAUUUUGAAGAACAAACCAAAACCAGUUACACAGA
rnacentral:lncRNA from 1 species